UUGAUUCCUCCUGUGUGCUCAUUGUGCACUUGACUCUUUCUUCCUCUCGGGACCAAGUCUUAUCAGAGGCUUUUUGUCACUGUGUCUAUAGCGACAUUUUAGCAUUCUCGAGGUCUUAACCUUUCUGGGUUUUAUAAAAAUAAGAUUUUUUUUUAACCUCAAGUUUGUUCACAUGAUGAGUAGGUUUGCCCUCAAAAUAUUUUUUUGGAUGUUACAGAGAUGAGCUAUUUUUUAAAAACAAAAGAUUUUAAAGCAUUAAACUACUACUAUAACUGCUACAGCUGUUUAGUAUACUGUUUUGCGUUGGCUACUUAGGAGCUGGUGGGUG
rnacentral:misc_RNA from 1 species